AGGCAUUAUAGGGUGCUGUUAUAUGGUAUAGAGGAGGGUUAUAUGGAGGUCGUAUAUGAAGUAAUAUGAUGGGUUAUAGGAACGGGUUAUAUGAGGUCAUAGGGGUUAUAGAGAGGGGCUAUAUGGAGCAAUACGAGGAGUUAUAGAGAGGGGCUAUAUGCAAUGAUAGGAUGAGUAAUAUGGAGGGGUUAUAGGAGUCAGUAGGGUCACACGGGUUUAAGUGGUUACCCGUAUUUAACCAUUAUUUAAUUGAUUAGAAGUAAACCACGCACUUCGUCAGACUCUACUAGAAGAAUUACAGUUGUUCGGCACAAAGCCGUUCCAACAAUUCUGUGUUUUAGCUCCGCAGUCCCAACGAAUAAUGUCUCACGGGUACCACGAAUCACGCCGGCAGCGUCUCUGUCUUCCUGACAAACUUCCCUUUCUGAGCCGGAAAAAGCAAAUUAUUUUAUUAGCGAUUUGUCCUCCUCCUCUAAACACAACUACCAAAACUACGGUUCCCUUACGACUGGGAUUAUACGUAAUGCUGAUUUAUCUGUGAUUUAUAGGGAAAUUACCAUAAUUUGUCUUUCUUUAUUACUAGCAUUGGAUUAAAAUUACUUUUUAAAAA